UUUGAGGUCAAUCAGCAUCUUGUAGCAGAUGUUAUGCCUGUUUUACUGAAGAGUGGUUAGUCUGCCUCGUGAGAGGAAGCGGUCGAGGAGAUGAAAGACUGUCGAUCGAUGUUGCAGCAUUGGUGUCGGUCGAAAGUGAUGCCAGAAUAUAGGCUGAGCAUAUUUUAUGACCGCUGAAGCCCAGAAGCAACCUCAAAUUACCAGAAUACCCUUGGGCGACCAUAAACCCUAUUUAUGUUAUUUAUAAGCCAUUGUUGACGGCAACACGCUCUUUAAGCUUUAUUCUAUAGUUCUAAGUUAGGAGAGAAGAGAGGAACUCCUUUAGAGUCCUCUUGGAACUCCUUUGGUUUUUAUAAUAUCUAUUGCAAUUUCAUCUAUUCAUCUAUGAUUUUCUGUGACAACUCCAUGUCUGAAUAGAUCCACCUGUUAGGUUUAGGGUUCAGAUAGGUUAUGAAUGAUUAGCCCAAAAUAUAGAACUGCGAAGUUUUGAUAUUCAUCGUAGGAUUGUUCUUACUGCUUGUGUUCUAGAGUCAUGAACUAGAACCCUGAUUUUAGAAUCAUUAGGCACAAUUGCGAACGCUUGGUCUUUUCUCUGAACUGAAUUCUAUUGAGCUAGGAUUGCUAGAAACAUACAAGAAUUGAUUUAGGAACCCUAGUGAACACAUUUUCAACCCGAUCAUAAAGCUUGCUAGAAGCGAUAUCGAUCGAUGAUCCAAUAGAUUAAUCGAUCGAUAUUGUGAAAGGUGUAUCGAUCGAUAUUCGUAUAGAAUAAUCGAUCGACACUUUCUUGUGAUCAAUAAACGAGAGUUUAGAUCCAAGAUCUGGAUAUUAGACUGUCUAUACAACGGAAGUUGUUAGAUUUGUACUCCCAGUUGAGUUCUAUAAUAUCUUGCAAACAACAAUUAGCCUCUAUAUCAUUAUAAUUCUGAUUACCUGAAUAGAAACCCUAGAUCUAUCAACCAUCCUUCCAUCAAACAACUCUCUGCCAAGCUGAAUAAUUGUCUUGUUCAACUU
rnacentral:lncRNA from 1 species